GGCACUGUAGCUCAGUUGGUAGAGCACAUGCUUAACACGAUCCACCGAUCCGGGUGUUCGCAUGUUGUCGUCGGUUCGAGCCCGGCCAGAGUCA
rfam:Puccinia graminis f. sp. tritici CRL 75-36-700-3 supercont2.1 genomic scaffold, whole genome shotgun sequence.